UACAGAGGUCUCAAGCGUUGUUCGGAUUCAUUGGGCGUAAAGGGUGCGUAGGCGGCGCGGUAAGUCGGGUGUGAAAUCUCGGAGCUUAACUCCGAAACUGCAUUCGAUACUGCCGUGCUUGAGGACUGGAGAGGAGACUGGAAUUUACGGUGUAGCGGUGAAAUGCGUAGAUAUCGUAAGGAAGACCAGUGGCGAAGGCGGGUCUCUGGACAGUUCCUGACGCUGAGGCACGAAGGUCAGGGGAACAAACGGG
rnacentral:rRNA from 1 species